rnacentral:misc_RNA from 1 species
UCCCCAAAGGGGCAGUCCGGCCAGACACAAGUAACUAACGAUAGGGGUUGCGCUCGUUAGAGGACUUAACCCGACACUUCACGGCACGAGCUGACGACAGCCAUGCAGCACCUCGACUCCCGUCCCUUGCGGGAAAACCGUGUUUCCACAGCUUUUCGUGAGCCGUUCGAGCCCAGGUAAGGUUCUUCGCGUUGCGUCGAAUUAAACCACAUACUCCACCGCUUGUGCGGGCCCCCGUCAAUUCCUUUGAGUUUUAAUCUUGCGACCGUACUCCCCAGGCGGAUGACUUCACGCGUUAGCUGCGUUACUAAAGGAUUUAACUCCUCCAACAACUAGUCAUCAUCGUUUAGGGCGUGGACUAC